rnacentral:lncRNA from 1 species
UUCUGCUGUUUGAUGCCCUGUUGUUUGUGUUUUUUUUUCUUCUGCUGCAGUUUAGCUCAUACAGGGUGAUGAAGAUCAUUAUUAUGCAUUACUUUUUCUUUCUUUAAUUUAUGUAUUAGUAUUAAAACAGACUGAAUUAUGCCCGAUCAUAACAAAGAUAUAGGUGCCUGGGCAGAAAAUGUGAUGAAGGAGCUGCUUGCAUCCAUCCUACACUCUGAAGUCCCUGUAGGAUCCUCAGACAUAUUGUGCUUAUUUUAGUUAUAAUACACGUUAGACUGUGAAGAGGACGGGAAGCAAACAGAACUACAUUUCUGGGUCUGCAGGAUUCCUUAAACAAUAGCUCUGAGAAGCAAAGUGUGCAAAAAAAGGUAUUGGAUGACCUAUAUAAUUUACAGCAAAUGAUACGCAAUUUGGAUGUCAGAGUGAGCAGACCCCAGUUUGUAGGCAGGAUAUAAUAAAACAUCAGACUUUGGCCAUUUGUCUGAUUUUGAAAAUCUUUCAUUUCAAGAAAAAAUGAAAUGUUUCCAUGGAGAUCAGCCAGAGAUAGCCAAAUGACGAACUUCUUGGCUGUACUUUCAGUUUGGUUUCUAUGGUUUCCAGACGAGGAGGUGGAAAAAGUGAAGUUGCUGAGGAAAAGUCUGCUUUUAAUCCCUCUCUGCGUCACAGAAAGGACUGGACAAUCUCUAGUUUUCAAAUGUCCUUUAAGGGUGGCAUACUUCUAACCCUUAAGAUGUGCAAUCUGUAUGCAGUAACUGCCAGUGCCCUUAUUAGACAUGCAUCCUGCAGCACCUGUGACCUGCAAGGAAGAUGGCUUGCUCUUCAUGCUGUAAUCUAGUGACUGAUGCUGCCACAGAGCUAGGAGGUGGCUGUACUCUGGCUGUGUGCAAAUAAUCCUGACAGAAGGAGGAGAUGCAGAUUCCAGUGGAGCAGAAAUAGAUCUAUGGCCACCCUCUGGCUGAAAGUGUGGGUGUUACUUCCCUCCUCUGCACAUCUUUCAGUUGAGAUAAAAUGGUGUACCAAAAAUUAACUUAAAAGAUCCCUGUCUCCUCAGCUAAAUAUUUAUGCAAUAAUCCCUAUGGCCUAGAAGGGAAGAAUACACUAGGGAGCACAAGGCUUUUACCUCUGCUUGAAACCCUGGGCUAUCCCAAAUUAUCUGAACUUUGCAGGUGGAAUGGUGGUUUUUACCCUCCCAGGGAAACCAUUUUCACCUGGGCUUGUGACUGUGCUCUACCUCUUUUAACAUAGCAGAAAGGGCAUCUCAGCCUAAAUUUUCUUACUGUGCUUUGAGAUGCCUGUGGAAAUGCCUGUUGUGUUUAUGGGUCUGCCAACAGUAAAAGGAAGAAAAGAUUCUCAUGGUAAGUCUGAAGGUUUGGCUUUCAGACGAAGAAUUAGAAGUAAGAGGCAGCAGGUAAAACAGAUCUCACAUGGACUCCAGCUUAAAUUUAAAGACAAGUUGAUUUACUUAUUUGAUUGGGCUUAAAAUAUCUAACAUAAUUUUGGGAAAAUGAUCAUGGUCUACUAAGUCAGAAGAGCCCAGAAAGCUGGUAAAAUAAAAAUGUCAUGGUGUGGUGAAGGUUGGCUUUCCUCAAAUGAUUUUUUUCUUAAACCUGGGAGAGCCUGGACAUAUGCUGAGGUACUCAGCCUGAUUAAUGCUACUAGGUAUUCACCAGCCUUCACCACAAAAUCCCUUCUCAGACAGUAAUACCAAAUAUUCUUGCUUUUCUAAUUACUUAAAAAUAUAUAUUUGUAGCAUGAUAUAGGAAACAAAUGAUCUUGGAGGUGGUUAUCUGAAUCAUUUUAUUAUAAACACUGAACAAUUAAAUUCAAAGUAUUUAUAGACAUUUGAUUGAACGUUUCAAAUAAAUACAGUUUUUCAUUUGAUGCUUUCUUUUCAGGAGACUAUGUUGAAAUAUCCUUUGUAUCAUAAAAUUUAAUGCUCUGCUUUAGUAGUUUCAAAGCUCAAGUAUUUAUGCUUAUGGAUAGACACAUGUAGACAUAGCAGAAAUUCUGUCCCAAGUGAUUCUGACACAGCACCUCUUUUCCUUUGGCCAUAGCAGGGUUCAGUCAUACUUGGUCCCACUUUGCAUGAGCCCUCAGAGGUCAGUGCUUCAUUUGCAUGAUUUUAAUAACCUGUGCAACCCAGUGAGUUCACACUAUGUAGAACUGGAAAGAGAUUUGUUGGUGUGAAGAUUUCUCACUGCAAGGGCAGAAGGAAUUCAGAGGAGGGAGGGGAAAAAUAUGUUGCAUAUGUGUGCUGUGUAGGAAGUGUAUUUGGGACUAAGGAGAUUCCCUGAGAACAGAAAAGGGAUAAUUCUGAGUAGAUGAAUUAGCAGAACAGAUUUGGAAGCUUGGUCCAGGAAAAAUGUUGGAGCUGGGGAGGGAGGGAUAGAGUAAUAUUGCAACAGUAUUGGAAGAAUCAUCCUCACUGGAAAAGAGGUUGUGGGUUUAUUAUUAUUAUUAUUAUUAUUAUUUUAAUUUUUUUAAUGACUCCAGAUUCUGUUGUGUGCCUCAUGUCUGAAAACAUAGGCUGAUCAAAUUGUGUAGCAGGUUGUUAUCAAGGUCUCACUGUCCACAAUUAGCAACAUCCUAAGCUUUUAUUUUGGUGGAGAUGAUGUUCUGAUCUGGUUUGUGUUCUGCUUUCAGCAAUUGUUACACUUGUUUCUAGGAUUUUAUCCCAUACAAGUUUAAAUACAAGUAAACUUGAGCAGAAAAUGUAUUUUAAUUCAAUAAAUUGUUGAUCUAUUCUUCAAAUAUGUUGGGAUGUUUUACUAAAGAGUCAACCCCGUGUUGCUGUGCAAUACGCAGAAUCCUCGCUGAAC